AGACAGAACUUGGAUUCAGACCCAGGCAGUCUGGCCCGAGUCUGUGCUUGAAACCACGGAGCUCCUCUGCCUCUCCUGAUGAGCCCUCCCCCUCCACCCCUGCAGGGGCUAGAGUCGUCAGACAGCCUUACAGCGAGUGAAGAGGCUUGGGGGCCGUGCGCUAGAUAGCCCUUUUGAGGGGGCGCCUCCGAGGCUCGGUCCUUCACCGCAAGUCCCUCCUCUCUCUCUCUCUCGUAACCCCUCCCCCCAAACAAUAACAUGAUGUGACGGGCGGCUGAUAGUCUUGCGGCCCCUUCGAUGCACCAGGCGCCCAUCCUGAGACUGGACAUGUGUUUAGUCAUUUCACCCUUAAGACAGUCCUGAGAGGAAAGGACUAUGAAUUUCCUUGUCCCGAUGGGGAAACUGAGGCUCAGAGAGCUUCUCAGGGCAACCCAGGCAGGCUGGCUCCAAUCAAUCAUUCAUUCACACCAGGGCAUCGGGGCCCUCUGAACCCCAGCCCUACCCCCAUGCUGGGAACCCGUGUCCUCCGCCACCAGGAAGGCCUCCCCCCAGCAUCCAAGAAAAGGGGGAGAAGGGGUGGGCCCGGCCUCUGUGGCAGCCCAGGCCAGCGCUCCCCCAGCCCUCCCUCCGCAGGAGCCGCCUGGCCAACGAGCUCUGAAGCCCAGAAGCCUCCACCGAAGGCAAACAAACAGACAGUGGCCUGACCUGAGCCCCGCAAGGCGCAAGGCGGAGGGAAAUGUUUUCCCAGCUGCCUCGCUUUCUCGGCACCGCUCCGCCCUGGGUCUGAUGGCUGCUCCAGCUCCAGCAAUCACAUCUCAUAUUCCAGCCAGCAGAAAGGAAGGAAGAAGAGGCAAAAGGGUACAACCCACCGGGGAAGAACAGCCACGUACUUUCUGUCACUAUGCCUCAGCACUUGCAGGCAUAUCUCUGUUCCCAUCUCCUUCCCAAAAGACAGAAGGCUUGGGGGAGCCCAGAGGAAGCUGUGAUGUCCCCUCCAGCUCAAGCCCCUGGAGGCUGGCCCCUGCCAGGAAGCAAGGCUUACCUGCUCAGACUCCCAAGGCCCUGGUGGUGGCGAGGAAAGAGACUUCCCCAGAGAAGGGAGGAUGCAAAUGGACCCCUUUUUAAAAUGCAAGCUGGGGAUCAGCCAUUCCCAGAUUCCAAUUCCUCUUUGGU